rnacentral:rRNA from 1 species
GAUGAACGCUGGCGGCGUGCUUAACACAUGCAAGUCGAACGGAAAGGCCCUGCUCUUGUUUGGUGCUCGAGUGGCGAACGGGUGAGUAACACGUGUGUAACCUGCCCUUGACUUUGGGAUAACUUUAGGAAACUGGGGCUAAUACCGGAUAUAAGCUUCUGAUGCAUGGUGGGGGUUAGAAAAUUUCGGCGGUUGGGGAUGGACUCGCGGCUUAUCAGCUUGUUGGUGGAGUAGUUACUUACGAAGGCUUUGACGGGUAGCCGGCCUGAGAGGGUGGCCGGGCACAUUGGGACUGAGAUACGGCGCAGACUCCUACGGGCGGCAGUAGUGGGGAAUAUUGCACAAUGGGCGGAAGCCUGAUACAGCAACGCCGCGUGCGGGAUGACGGCCUUCGGGGUGUGAACCGCUUUCGCCUGUGACGAAGCGUGAGUGACGGUAAUGGGUAAAGAAGCAACGGCUAACUACGUG